CCUCCCGGCACCUAGCCCCUCCCUCUACCGGAGCUCCUCCCUGAUCUCCAUGCCCGGAGCUCAUCCGUCUGAGUCGUGCCCUCCUCCCCCACUUCCUUCCCUCCCCUGCAGCCAUUCAUGUUCCCUGCCGCCGGGAAAAAAUCCUGCGGAUCCGCCCGCGGCGGGACUUUCCCCGGGUGUUCCCUCGAGCGAGGGGACUCAGACCGGUGGCCGCCGCCGCGGCCGUGGAGCUCAGGUGGUGGCGGUUGUUCGUGGUGGAGGAUGGUGACGGUUUUGGAGGAGGCCGGUUGUGCAGCGGCGGGGGUGUCCUGGUAUGUGGCCUCAUCCAGCCGAGCUCGAUUAGGUUGCUGCUGGAAUUCGAUGAUGCGGUCCCCGCCCUGCGACGCCGGCAUCGUUUGCGGCUUUGUUUGCGGUUCCCGUCCUCCUGGCCUUCUCUUUUUUGCUCAACAUCUGGUCGAGCCGGACACACUGCUAUGUGGUCACCACUGUCGCCGUCCCUGUCGUUCUUUCAUCUGUAUCAGGUAUUGCAUUUUUGUUAGUUCACGCACCUUGCCAGCGCUUUAAUUCCUCUGUUAUUUGGUUGUUUGUGUUAGGAUUUCUCCUCUGGUUUUCACGCGGGUGUUGACAGGCCCUGGUGUUGGACAACGACCAGCACCGUCGUCGGCUCAGGAUCACGGCGUAGCCGGCAGACGCCCCAAUGACGACCAGUAAGCCCAUGACCGUCGGCAAGGCACGGAACAUGGUGGAUGGAGGGGUUCCUGGCGGUGGCGGCCAACGGAUGCUCCGGGCGUUCCUACACCCUCUACUGAAUUAUUUGUUCUUAUAAAAGAAGGUCCAUACGUGUGCUACUUCUCAAGAGAGCCAGGCAUCAGCUGUGGAUAGCUCAAGGAGAAGACAACCUAAGAACUUCUUGGUGUUGAUUAUUUUGAUCAUUGGAUCAUUCUGUGUGCUCCGUGUCAGGCCAACAGAAUCCUAGGCGAGGGAACCAGAAUGUGUCAAUGAAGAAUGGAAAAAAAAUAUUUGAUCAUAUACUCAGUGUCCAAUAUGCUGAACGGAUGGAGAAUCUUGGGCUGCAUAGCCAUUCAGAUGACAAGCAAGAAUAUGUACAGCACCUUCAUUUACAAAUCUCAUUUCCAUAUCAGACAACAUCAGAUAUAGAAGAGGUAAGUGAAGACCACAGUUUAUUCAUUGCUUUAAUUUCAUAGAGGAAUUGAACGGCACACGGUUUCUACACAAGACACGUCGAAUAGCCAACAAUUUUCUGUACUCAAGGAUAUCAUCUCUGCAAUUGAAAAGAAGAUAAGGCAGGCCAAAGCAUGGCUACUGCACCAACCAAGAAACAAGUCAACAAAGAGCUCUUCCCACGCAAAUAAGGAUGUUGGCACUCCUCGCAAAACGAAGAUUCACCUAAAAGAACGACUCAGAUCAGCCAAGAACCGAAAGCAAAGGAGAGAAACCGAUGAAGCAAUAAUUUUGUACAGUACUACCAAUCAGUGAGUUAUGUAUAGUAUUAUGGACCUACCAUCUGUUCUACACGAUAAGUACUUGACGUAUUGUAGUAGGAGUAUUAGGUAUCCAUCACCUAACUAUGUAUAAUUGCCCUAAUCAUACUCCCAAUGUUUUUGCAAUACUCUGUUUGAUGCAGCUGAUUGUUCUGGAUGCUCUGUAUAAUAUUAUGAAACUACAUACUGUUCCAACCAACGAGAACGUUCAAAAAUCCUAGGCAUAAACAUUUGCUGGAAGGCUGCAUACAAGUAUCUUGAUCAUGCUUCUUCGCCUCCAUGAUGCACUGUCACAGCUAUUGGCUCUUGUGACUGAUGAGCAGAGUAAUCGGUACUGCAUCAGCAUCCGUGUGAUUGUCGAACCAAAUCAACGGCCUCACCAAGCAAUGAACCGUUUCUGUUCGAUGAUGUAGCGUUUAU